UCCGCUGUGCGACCAUGCGGUUUGUCGCAUGUUCGGUAUUGUCCUGAAAUUCUUCCGUAUCCGAAUUUUAUGGAUUCUCUGCUUUUGAAUAUCGUCGAGGCCAAACAUGGUUAAUUUCACAGAGCUGAAUAAAGAGAUUGUGCUCCUCCGAGGGGAUGUGAAGAGAGCUCGCCUCCUCCUGAUCCAGACUCUGUGUCGGAACAUCCGCAAACUCAGGGACAAGAAGGGAAAGCCUGACCAGCUGGCGAGAAACAAGCACCGCGCCGAGAAACUGCAUGAAGACAUCACUGUUCUCAAGGUAGG